GCACCACCAAGUUGAGGGCAGGCAGGGUUUAUUGUGACCAUCCAUCCUGACCACUGCAAAAAGCCUGGAGAAACUGCUGCAGCAGCAACCCUACAGAUCCCAAGGCAGCUGGAGCCUUCCCAUUCAGAGAGCUUUGCUCCUCCAGACUUCAAGCCAUAAGGAACUCACUGAGCCAAAAUCUAAAGAUAAUAGAAAAGGUCCAAAGGAGAGCUACAGCGAGCUGAUGCAAAAGGAAAUAUCAGCAAAUUGCAAGUUAGGGCGGAGUGGCUGGAGAAGACCAAAGCAGACACACUCCUUCUGAAGUCAAAAUCCCUGAACAGAGCCAAAGGAAAACGUCUCUCAAGGCAGAAGACCACCCUCUGCUCUACAGUGGGUCUACAAGAGGGAUGGGUUUUUCUCCUGCUUUGGCUGGAAACACCAUCACACUCAGAUGCUCAUGGUUU